GUGUGACGUUCCAUGCUAUGGAACACCCCUUUGGCUAGUUCAGGUCAGCUGCCCCAGCUGUGCUCCCUCCCAGCUUCUUGCACACCUGCUUGCUGGCAGAGCAUGGGAAACUGAAAAGUCCUUGGCUUAAGAUAAGUGCUACUUAGCAACAACUAAAACAUCAGGGUGUUAUCAACAGUAUUGUCACACUAAAUCCAAAACACACACUGUACCAGCUAUUAAGAGAGUUAACUCUGUCCCAGCCGAAACCAGGAUACUCAGCAUGUAUCUUUUGCUUUGGUUUUUUUCAGAUGCUGCAAGAGGCUCAGAGGGGCGAAGCUGCGUGCUGAGGAGCGGUCCGAGAAGGCGCCAUACAGGCAGCCUUUGGAACUGGAUGAGCCUUUGAGGUGCCACGAGCGAUGACGGCCGCAGCGUCCGACGCUGGAAUUCCUGCAGAGCAGAUGAUGAAGAGGAACCUGGCAACUGCAGGAAUAUCCUGGUUCACUGAUGUGUUUUUUGCUGAGGAUGGAUUCAGACCCCUGCCGUCUGACAGCUAAGUUGAGGGACUGGAGACCACUGCCCUACAGUGUGUAAUUUUGACUUCAGU